rnacentral:tRNA from 1 species
GGUAGUGUGGCCGAGUAUAGGUGGCGAGUUGUAGCCUCGUUCACUGGGAAGUACCCACGCUACCAAGCC